AUCGAUAAUACAGUGAAUACAGACAUUUUAAAAUGUAACCUCCUUUUUAUAACACCUCUUUCCUCAGUGCAUGUGUAAGAAUAAUGAGUGACAGUCUUGAGCAUUUCCAUUAUCCUAACCUAAUAUUUCUAUACCAGUACACAGUUUAAUAGAGGUUGUUGAACUUUACUAAUAAUAGCCCUAACUCAUUUCAAACUUGUAUAAUUCUCCCUUCUAACACCAGCCCUCCCUCCCCCUUAUCAGCCAGUUUUGAGCUGGCUUGAAUCAGUUAGUAUCGGAAGCAAAUGAUAAACGACCUAAAUGGCCUAGGGUCUGUAGGGUUAGUGUAGAAUCUGUAAGAAAUUGGAAGGAACUUCUUAUUACCGCAUUAUUUUACAACAAAGCCGCCUAUAAAAUCCGGCGCUCCUGGUAUUAGCCUAGAUUAACAGGGAUGGUCUAGCAGGGCAGUACGUUUAUCUAGGAUAUAGAUUGAAUCUAUAGUUAUUUCAUCUAAAUAAGGUAAACUUAAAAUCAUGAAAGAGCGGCUUUAGGGCAAGUAAAACUUUAAACUUUGCCCGGCGAACGCGGUGAGGAAAAUGUCACGCGUGCAGACGCCGAUCGAAGUUACGUGUCACGAACAACUGAGACAAAAUCAUCUCCUGCUUGAAGCAACUGUGUCAAAAUUAUGUCCUGCUUGAAGCAACUGUGACAUAAUUAUCUCCUGCUUAAAAUGUGCGUUUUUGGCCUUGCGAGGCAGUAAGCAGAGUGAAUACGUGAAAUUUUCCUCAACAUGUGCGCCGGUCUUGAGACUUUACGUUAAUCUGCAGAACACAUCGCCAUUUUCACCGGGUACAAGUUCAAACGAGUAAAAAUAAGGCGCGAAAAACGCCAUGGACACAAGCCAGGUGAUGGCUAUGAGGGAGCGACGAACCGCGGAGGGGAUCAGGCUUGCUUUGAACGGGAAAGCGACGGCACAGAAACGAUCGCAAGUCAUGAAUACUAGACUGAGCACAGAGAC